rnacentral:rRNA from 1 species
UACGUAGGGGGCUAGCGUUGUCCGGAAUCAUUGGGCGUAAAGAGCGUGUAGGCGGUCCGGUAAGUCCGCUGUGAAAGUCGGGGGCUCAACCCUCGAAUGCCGGUGGAUACUGUCGGGCUAGAGUGCGGAAGAGGAGAGUGGAAUUCCUGGUGUAGCGGUGAAAUGCGCAGAUAUCAGGAAGAACACCCGUGGCGAAGGCGGCUCUCUGGGACGGUACUGGACGCUGAGACGCGAAAGCGUGGGGAGCGAACAGG